rnacentral:rRNA from 1 species
AGAGUUUGAUCCUGGCUCAGGACGAACGCUGGCGGCGUGCUUAACACAUGCAAGUCGAACGAUGAACCACUUCGGUGGGGAUUAGUGGCGAACGGGUGAGUAACACGUGGGCAAUCUGCCCUUCACUCUGGGACAAGCCCUGGAAACGGGGUCUAAUACCGGAUAACACUCCUACAGGCAUCUGUGGGGGUUAAAAGCUCCGGCGGUGAAGGAUGAGCCCGCGGCCUAUCAGCUUGUUGGUGAGGUAGUGGCUCACCAAGGCGACGACGGGUAGCCGGCCUGAGAGGGCGACCGGCCACACUGGGACUGAGACACGGCCCAGACUCCUACGGGAGGCAGCAGUGGGGAAUAUUGCACAAUGGGCGAAAGCCUGAUGCAGCGACGCCGCGUGAGGGAUGACGGCCUUCGGGUUGUAAACCUCUUUCAGCAGGGAAGAAGCGAAAGUGACGGUACCUGCAGAAGAAGCGCCGGCUAACUACGUGCCAGCAGCCGCGGUAAUACGUAGGGCGCAAGCGUUGUCCGGAAUUAUUGGGCGUAAAGAGCUCGUAGGCGGUCUGUCGCGUCGGAUGUGAAAGCCCGGGGCUUAACCCCGGGUCUGCAUUCGAUACGGGCAGACUAGAGUGUGGUAGGGGAGAUCGGAAUUCCUGGUGUAGCGGUGAAAUGCGCAGAUAUCAGGAGGAACACCGGUGGCGAAGGCGGAUCUCUGGGCCAUUACUGACGCUGAGGAGCGAAAGCGUGGGGAGCGAACAGGAUUAGAUACCCUGGUAGUCCACGCCGUAAACGGUGGGAACUAGGUGUUGGCGACAUUCCACGUCGUCGGUGCCGCAGCUAACGCAUUAAGUUCCCCGCCUGGGGAGUACGGCCGCAAGGCUAAACUCAAAGGAAUUGACGG